AGCGUAGACGGUGUGGCAAGUCUGAUGUGAAAGGCAUGGGCUCAACCCGUGGACUGCAUUGGAAACUGUCAUACUUGAGUGCCGGAGGGGUAAGCGGAAUUCCUAGUGUAGCGGUGAAAUGCGUAGAUAUAUGGAAGAACACCAGUGGCGAAGGCGGCUUUCUGGACUGUAACUGACGUUGAGGCUGAAAGUGUGGGUAGCAAACA
rnacentral:rRNA from 1 species